UUAAAAAGCUCGUAGUUGAAUUUCGGGAUCAAUUAGUCGGUCGUGCCUCUGGUACGUACUGGUUUUAUUGGUUCCUCCCUUCUGACGAAACAUGAUGUCAUUAAUUUGGUGUCGUGGAGAAUCAGGACUGUUACCUUGAAAAAAUUAGAGUGUUUAUAGCAGGCUAACGCUUGAANACAUUAGCAUGGAAUAAUGAAAUAGGACGUUCGACCCUAUUUUGUUGGUUUCUAGGAUCGACGUAAUGAUUAAUAGGGAUAGUUGGGGG
rnacentral:rRNA from 1 species